GCCUGGACAACCGGUCCGCCUCACCGUGAGUACUGGGAGUCUGGGCCUUUCCUCUUGGCAAACCUCAUGCCCUUCACUGGGUGUGUUGGGGAACCAGGACUUUUACUUUGAAAAAAUUAGAGUGUUCAAAGCAGGCAUUUGCUCGAAUACAUUAGCAUGGAAUAAUAGAAUAGGACGUGC
rnacentral:rRNA from 1 species